rnacentral:misc_RNA from 1 species
GGACCAGAAACUCUGUGGAGCGAUCGAUGUAAAACAAAUGGAGCGAUUGUUGAUUGUUGGGUUGUGGUGUGCUCAUCCUGAUCACAACCUGAGACCCUCCAUAAGGCAGGCUGCUCAGGUGCUUAAUUUUGAGGCUGGAGUUCCUAAUCUUCCAAUGAAGAUGCCUGUUGCCAUGUAUCAAGUUCCUGAUUACGCCUCAACUAGUUCUUCU